rfam:Bombyx mori DNA, contig: Bm_scaf95_contig35091, strain: p50T/Dazao, build 2, whole genome shotgun sequence.
UUAACUCAAAUUUAUAUGUAGCCGGAACGUUUGCCUACGUUUGCCGCUGUUCCAUCUCCAUACAAAUUUGAGUUA